rnacentral:rRNA from 1 species
UAGUAUGGGGGUCUGCCGCAGAGAGGGGAUAACUACUGGAAACGGUGGCUAAUACCGCAUAAUGUCUACGGACCAAAGCAGGGGCUCUUCGGACCUUGCACUAUCGGAUGAACCCAUAUGGGAUUAGCUAGUAGGUGGGGUAAAGGCUCACCUAGGCGACGAUCUCUAGCUGGUCUGAGAGGAUGAUCAGCCACACUGGGACUGAGACACGGCCCAG